AGAACGAGAUGGGACGUAGUAACUCCACCUUACUUCUGAUUACUGAGUCUGGUGUUGGUAGAACAACAAGGAUAAUUCACAUCACCAGGUGGACUCUGGUCUCUGUGAUGCUGAUUCUUCUGCUUCUCUUUUGUCUGUGGACGAGGAAGAAGAAAGCUGUGAUCUCCACCACUGAACCACAUGAGUCCAGAGAGGCUGUGGAGGUGAGACAUUUGUCCUCAGAGACAGAACUCACCAAAGGGUCAUCGUAGAGAGUCUUGCUGCAACAAACCACACUGCAUGUUCUCCUGCAGGCUUAAUGUUAUUGUUGGAAUGCUUCAUAUGAGCUUUAGUCCUUUCUUUAAUAUUUGUUGGGAUGCUUUUAAGCCACAACAACUAAAGGUCUUGCAAACGUUUCUAGUUGUACUUGUUGUUUCACACCAGCAACAAACAAGGAUCUCACACAUCACACAUUAAUGAGAAUAAUUUAUAUUCAU